rnacentral:rRNA from 1 species
AGAUUGAACGCUGGCGGCAGGCCUAACACAUGCAAGUCGAGCGGUAGAGAGGUGCUUGCACCUCUUGAGAGCGGCGGACGGGUGAGUAAUGCCUAGGAAUCUGCCUAGUGGUGGGGGAUAACGUUCGGAAACGGACGCUAAUACCGCAUACGUCCUACGGGAGAAAGCGGGGGACCUUCGGGCCUCGCGCCAUUAGAUGAGCCUAGGUCGGAUUAGCUAGUUGGUGAGGUAAUGGCUCACCAAGGCGACGAUCCGUAACUGGUCUGAGAGGAUGAUCAGUCACACUGGAACUGAGACACGGUCCAGACUCCUACGGAGGCAGCAGUGGGAAUAUUGGACAAUGGGCGAAAGCCUGAUCCAGCCAUGCCGCGUGUGUGAAGGAAGGUCUUCGGAUUGUAAAGCACUUUAAGUUGGAGGAAGGUUGUAACUUAAUACGUUGCAACUUGACGUUACCGACAGAAUAAGCACCG